rnacentral:rRNA from 1 species
GCAUAUCAAUAAGAGGAGGAAAAGAAACCAACCGGGAUURCCCUAGUAACGGCGAGUGAAGCGGYAAGAGCUCAAAUUUGAAAGCUGGCUCCUUCGGGGUCCGCAUUGUAAUUUGCAGAGGAUGCUUCGGGAGCGGUCCCCAUCUAAGUGCCCUGGAACGGGCCGUCAUAGAGGGUGAGAAUCCCGUMUGGGAUGGGGUGCCCGCGCCCGUGUGAAGCUCCUUCGACGAGUCGAGUUGUUUGGGAAUGCAGCUCUAAUUGGGUGGUAAAUUUCAUCUAAAGCUAAAUAUUGGCCGGAGACCGAUAGCGCACAAGUAGAGUGAUCGAAAGAUGAAAAGCACUUUGAAAAGAGAGUUAAAMAGCACGUGAAAUUGUUGAAAGGGAAGCGCUUGCGAUCAGACUCGCYCGCGGGGUUCAGCCGGCMUUCGKGCYGGUGUACUUCCCCGYGGGCGGGCCAGCGUCGGUUUGGGCGGCCGGUCAAAGGCCCCUGGAAUGUAACGCCUCUCGGGGCGUCUUAUAGCCAGGGGUGCCAUGCGGCCUGCCCGGACCGAGGAACGCGCUUCGGCUCGGACGCUGGCAUAAUGGUCRUAAGCGACCCGUCUUGAAACACGGACCAAGGAGUCUAACAUCUACGCGAGUGUUCGGGUGUCAAACCCGUGCGCGCAGUGAAAGCGAACGGAGGUGGGAACCCCYCGGGGUGCRCCAUCGACCGAUCCUGAWGUCUUCGGAUGGAUUUGAGUAAGAGCGUASCUGUUGGGACCCRAAAGAUGGKGAACUAUGCCUGAAUAGGGCRAAGCCAGAGGAAACUCUGGUGGAGGCUCGCAGCGGUUCUGACGUGCAAAUCGAUCGUCAAAUUUGGGUAUAGGGGCGAAAGACUAAUCGAACCAUCUAGUAGCUGGUCCUGC